CGGCCAGGCUGCUCCGCGAUGGAGCCUUUGGAUCGAAGUCAAUCGGGGGUUCCUCCGACGCAGGCGACGCCGCUGCCGUCUGUUGCCUUGCAGUCGGGGAGGCCGGGCGCGGCCCCGUCUAAAGCAGCCAUGGGCGACGCGGCGAAGGAGGAGAGCCUUCUCUUGGCAGCAGCAUAUGUCUAUGAUGCCCAAUAUAAUAGGAACAUCCCAUUUAAGACUUCAUCAAAGGCGAUCAGGCUUUAUUAUCUCUAUAACCAUUGGGCCAUGCAAGCAGGUACUUAUUUCUUCAUUUUUGUAGACCUGGCACUUGCACUAUUUGAAGAGCCAGCUGUAUACCUACUUCCUUUCUUGAUGACAUCACUAAUUGAAGUCUUAUGUCUUUUUGUCUUCUUUGGAAGACUCAUCCAUUUUGCACACGUUACACCUCGUAAUACAUUCUGGAAAGAUACAAAGAACAUCUGCAUCAUGAUAACAGUCUUGAUGACAUUGAUUGACCUAAUUAUCUAUGGCACUCUUAGAGCCUUGAACAUUCGUGGUGUUAGGUGGUCCAGGCCAUUGAGACCCAUCUUCUUAAUAAACUUUGCAGAGAGUCGUCAGAUCCGGCGAGCCUUUCGAAGCAUCCGGAACACUCUGCCUGAGAUCACUUAUGUCUUUCUGCUGUUCAUGUUCAGUGUCCUCAUGUUUUCUCUCAUGGCUCUGAAGCUGUUUGGAGACAGGAAUUUGAAGACCUUGGAAGGCUUGCCCUAUUUUACAAAUUAUCUUGAAGUCAUAUUUGAUAUGUACGUGCUGGUGACCACAGCAAAUAGCCCAGACAUCAUGAUGCCGGCUUAUGACUACAGCUGGUGGUACAGUUUAUUUUUCAUAAUAUAUGUAAUAAUCAACACCUACAUUUUCAUGUCAGUCUUUUUAGCAGUUGUGUACAACAACUACAGGAAACACUUAAAGAAUGAGAUCCGCAAGCUUGCUUACAUGAAACAUCACAAAAUGAUAGAAGCCUUCAACCUCCUAAAGGUCAAAGAAAGAGAUGAAUUUGUUAUCCAAGAAGAUCAGUGGAAAAGUCUGGUAAAAUUGGUGGCACCUCAAAUCAGUGCAUCCCAUCGAGAACUCCUUUUAAGGGUAUCUGAUGAAGAACAGAAGGGCUACGUGGACAAAAAAUCCUUUGUACGUCUGGCUGAUCUUUUGAAUAUAGAGGUGAUCACAUUGAAGGCCCACAUCCACCCUUUAGACAUCUGGUUUCCACAGGUAUAUAAUUCUACUCCCAGCCUGGUCUUACGCAGUAUGAUCCAGCACAGAGCAUUCAUUUGGAUAUAUGAUAUUAUCAUACUAAUUAAUGCAGUCUUCAUUGCACUGGAUGAGAAGAAUCCUUAUAUUUCCUAUGCAGAGUGGGUGUUUCUAUGUUUGUAUAUAAUUGAAAUACUCCUGAAAUUAUAUGUCUUUGAACCCAGGACUAUUUUUGCAAGAAACCAAUUUUGGAACUGGUUUGAUACUUCUAUCAUUAUUGCUGCUUUGAUUGCAACAGUAUUGAACACUAUACUUAAAUCAGUGACUGCAUAUAAUAGCCAACAAAUACUGGACAUUGUGUUUAUCUUACGAGUUCUUAGGCUUAUAAGAAUUAUCGACAGCAUCCACAGGUUCCGUGUUAUUAUGAAUACACUAAUAAACAUUGUGCCUACAAUGCUAACCUUUGGAGCAUUAGUUCUGGUGGUAUAUUAUGUAUUUUCCAUUAUUGGGAUGGAAAUCUUCCAUGGGAAAAUCCAAUUCUUUGCUGGAAACACCACCUCACCGCAAGCCAUGUACUGUGGAAAUCCUGCUUUGAGUGGAACUACAUUUGCACGAGCCAAAUAUUGCAGGAAUAACUUCAACAACAUUGUGUCUUCUUUUAUUGUCCUUAUGGAACUAACUAUUGUCAACCAGUGGCAUGUUCUUGCCAAUGGAUUUGCCCUUGUGACUCAUGAGAGUGCAAAGCUGUUUUUCAUCAUCUUUCACAUUGUUGUGGUGAUUAUGAUUAUUAACAUCUUUGUAGCAUUCAUUCUGGAAGCUUUCUUUGUGGAGUAUUCUAUUGAGAAGAGUGAAGUUGAAACUGCCAUUGAGAAGAAGAUUCAAGAACUUGGUAUAGGGGUACAAGAGGAUGACCUUUUUGAUGGUAGAUUGAUAGACAACCUUGAAACCAUUGAAAAUGAUCUUGGAAGUGAAGAAGGAAUGGCAGUGAAGAAGAAACCUAAGGGGUUGAUGUUUAAAAUUGCCUCCAGAAGAUACAGGACUGUGGAUGCCUUACUCCAACGCAUGUUUGAAUCAGAGAUAGCUCCAGAAGAAGGACCUUCUCUUGAUGAGAUCUUAAAUCUGUCCCCAGAUGAGACGUACCCAGGGAACCCAGCUUUUGACCGGGCUGCAUAACAUGGAGAAUGAGUGGAAAUAACUGGAAUCUUUUUGAAAUCCUAUCUCUUUUCUGAAAGCAGAGUGCAUGGAUGCACUUGACUGAAGAAAGGGAUCCAUGCCUGAAUUAUUUUACCACGAUGGAACAGCUAUUAAGAUGUUGGAAAGAAUUCUAGAAGCCAUGCUCUGCACAGAAUAAAGCUCAUUUCCAUUCUGGAAAAUCCUUGUCAACCAGAGUGAAACAAUUUUAAUCUAAACGGUUACUGAUCUGAGCAAAU